UGCUGCUUCUGGGUGACAGUCUGCCU
rnacentral:piRNA from 1 species